GUCUACAGCCAUACCACCCUGAAUGCAUCCAAUCUCAUCUGAUCUCAGAAGCUAACAGGGUCAGGCCUGGUUAGUAUUCCGAUGGCAAGAGUCAUGUUCA
ensembl:rRNA 5S_rRNA 5S ribosomal RNA